UUUCAAUUAUGACAACGGUAAAUUGCCAUUAAAGCUUGUAUUGUCCCUAGUAGACUCCGAUAUGGACUCAGAGUCAGACCCUUGACACACCAAAUCCUUGAAAGCCCCUUCUUCCAUUCCUUGACUUUUGCUUCAUUCUUGAUUGAAACCCAGAAUAGCAUCACUAAGCUCGAGAUCCUGGUUGUUAAGAGAAGGCGGCUAGACCCGCAUGAUCUCAGCUAACCAUUUCCAUUUCGAAAAUAGGAAACAAGGAGGUGGCUGGCGACGGCACAGUGUCGCAGGAUUUUGGGGUCCCAUAGUCCUUAGGGAUUCUUUUUGACACCAAAUCACAAAUUGAUAACCAGUAUGGGGAUCACG
rnacentral:misc_RNA from 1 species